rnacentral:rRNA from 1 species
AUUGAACGCUGGCGGCAGGCCUAACACAUGCAAGUCGAGCGAGCGGCGGACGGGUGAGUAAUGUAUGGGGACUGCCCGAUAGAGGGGGAUAACUACUGGAAACGGUGGCUAAUACCGCAUACUAUCGGAUAACCCAUAUGGGAUUAGCUAGUAGGUAAGGUAAUGGCUUACCUAGGCGACGAUCCCUAGCGGGUCUGAGAGGAUGUUCAGCAACACGGGGACUGAGAGACGGCCCAGAGUCGUACGGAGGCAGCAGUGGGGAAUAUUGCACAAUGGGCACAAGCCUGAUACAGCCAUGCCGCGGGUAUGAAGAAGGCCCUAGGGUUGUAAAGUACUUUCAGUAGGGAGGCGUUACCGACAGAAGAAGCACCGGCUAACUCCGUGCCAGCAGCCGCGGUAAUUC